rfam:Medicago truncatula strain A17 chromosome 2, whole genome shotgun sequence.
UUGGUUUAAAUCAUUGUAGGUCUGCACUUUGAAAAUUGAACUCACACUAUGUGAUGAGACAUACAUUGAUUUCAUCUAA